CUUUUGGAGAGUUUGAUCCUGGCUCAGGACGAACGCUGGCGGCGUGCCUAAUACAUGCAAGUCGAGCGAAC
rnacentral:rRNA from 1 species